CUGUCCGUGAGGUACGUCGGCCUCGUGCCCUGAGGAGAAACUGGAGACGCCGGUCUCUGCUCUCUCCCGCCGCUACGAUGCCGCGCCGGGUCCUGCCAGCCUUUGCGCGAGGAGUGUGAGCGGGAACGGCCCCGACCUGCCCCUCAGAAGCCUGAAACCGAGGCAAUACUAAAGCAAAAGUCUGAUUUCAGCCGUCUCCGCCCCUCAGAGAUUCUCUUUCAACUCCCUCCAGUAAUUUUUUUUUCCCCACAGGUAAUUUUUUAAAAAGAUUUUAUUUACUCAUUUGAGAGAGAGAAAGAGUGCACAAGUGGGAGAGGGGCAAGGGAGAGGGAAAAGCAGGCUCCUGGCGGAGCUGGACAUGGAAGACAUGGGGUUUGAUACCAGGACCCUGAAAUCAUGACCUGAGCUGAAGUCAGAGUGCUUAACCAACUGAGCUACCCAGGCACCCCUGUACACAGGGAUUUCAUCUCCUAGUGCAGAAUUUUCCAAAUCCUGUUCCAGAAUGUAUUUCUCAAGAUGUCAGUUUCCUUCCUCAGCCAGAUUUGCUACGACUCUUCACAUCAAAUGAAGCAAAAGAUUGCUGUAGAGAGCUGAACACAGGGAACAAACAAUGCAUUAAAAAGUUCUUUGUUGCAAGAAAAAUGCAAGACAAACAAUAAAGUUCAUAAAAACAUAUACAUUUAUAAUUGUGUCUUCAUUACUAACAGUCCUGAGCAGUUGAAUUGCCAGUUAGUAUGAGGUUUUCAAAACAGGCCUAAAUAACAUUCCACCAUAAAAAUAACAUUCAUAUGUAACCACUGACAAAUUGCCACUUGGCUAAGUUAUCUUGUUUCUAAUUUUACAGGUGUUAGAUCUGGCUUGCUUCAGUCAGCUUCUUUGUCAGUCUCAUCACCUGUGAUUUCCAGUUAAAACUUUAUCACACUUAGAUGAUUGGAAAACAGUAUAGACAUGUGAGGAAAUGAUUCAACUUCUGUGACACGAGCAUUCCUUAAUAAUUACUAGAAAAAUCUCCUGAGGGAACAUAUUCACAAACAUCCAAU
rnacentral:lncRNA from 1 species